GGAUAGCUCAGUCGGUAGAGCAUGAGACUCUUAAUCUCAGGGUUGUGAGUUCAAGACCCAUGUUGAACA